AGGGAUUCUCUCACCUCACCCUUACCAGUAGCUGGGACUACAGGAUGACAUAGCACAAAGGCCCUUGACACAUGGGGGCCCCUGGACCUCAGACUUCUCAGCCUCCAAAAUGGAAACGACGGCCAUGUUUCUGGAAGCCUGUCCUCUCUGCCUGGCUACAUGGCUCCUUCCUCCCACUGUUGACCCCUGACAGAGGCUCAGGGUACAGCCCUUCCAGAUCAGCUUGAGAGGGGCUGAUGCGACUGACUUGAGAUUUCGCUCACAGCAUCCUGUAACUGGUUCAUGGGAUUCUGAGCUGUCAGCAUCUGGAUUAGCUUUUCACUCACACAUUCUGCAGUGUAAGGAAGGGGUCUUUUCAGUCAACCAACCAACCUACCAAUCAACUAACCAACUAACCAACCUACCAAACAACUAACCAACUAACCUACCAACCAACUAACCUACCAACCAACUAACCAACCACCCAAUCUACCAAACUAUCUACCAACCAACUCACUAACCAAUCAACCAACCAGUUAACCAACCAAACUACCAAC